CUCACCCUUGAGCAAGUUCCUGGCAGCACCUGGGAGUGCGUGGAGGAGGUGCCCACGCCAGAGCAGGAAUAUGGAACUGCACCAAUUUUUCAGAGAAAACUGUUAUUUGUGCAUAACAAACGUCACUCCAUCAGAGCUUUGCAGGAACCAGAGGAUCAUCUGAGGAGACUUAAGUAAAUGCCUCAUGUGGCCUUCAGCAUGACCCUACUCUGCCUGUUUCUAGGGGAGGUUUUCUUCCUUUCCUCAUUGAUUAAAUAAACAUGAGCGAUCGU